rfam:Canis lupus familiaris chromosome 26, whole genome shotgun sequence.
AUCCUUUUGUAGUUCAUAAGUGUGAUGAUUGGGUGUUCUUGCAUUUGUGUAAUAUGUGCCUCCCUCAGAUCUUGUUAUAACCUCGGCACAUUACCCAUCUGAUA